rnacentral:piRNA from 1 species
AGGCUUGACGGUGCUUAUGCUUAGACA